rnacentral:rRNA from 1 species
AGCGAACGCUGGCGGCAGGCCUAACACAUGCAAGUCGAACGAACCUUUCGGGGUUAGUGGCGGACGGGUGAGUAACACGUGGGAACGUGCCUUUAGGUUCGGAAUAACUCAGGGAAACUUGUGCUAAUACCGAAUGUGCCCUUCGGGGGAAAGAUUUAUCGCCUUUAGAGCGGCCCGCGUCUGAUUAGCUAGUUGGUUGAGGUAAUGGCUCACCAAGGCGAAGAUCAGUAGCUGUUCUGAGAGGAUGAUCAGCCACAUUGGGACUGAGACACGGCCCAAACUCCUACGGGAGGGAGCAGUGGGGAAUCUUGCGCAAUGGGCGAAAGCCUGACGCAGCCAUGCCGCGUGAAUGAUGAAGGUCUUAGGAUUGUAAAAUUCUUUCACCGGGGACGAUAAUGACGGUACCCGGAGAAGAAGCCCCGGCUAACUUCGUG